GUGCUCAGCUGGCCUGCCUUCCUUUCCCCUUCUGUUCCAUCUGAGCCUCACCACCACAGCAUCAUGCUGCUCACAGUCACAGGCAAGAGUUGGUCCAGUUCCUGCCAGUGCACCAGUACCAACUGGGAAUCCGCAUCAAAUGGUCUGAAAUCGGCAAGCUUAAAGAAUGAAAGGCUCAUUGGUUUUUAAGAGCAGGAAUAAAGACCUCCAUGUUUUGCA